rnacentral:rRNA from 1 species
UACGUAGGUGGCAAGCGUUGUCCGGAUUUAUUGGGCGUAAAGCGAGCGCAGGCGGUUCCUUAAGUCUGAUGUGAAAGCCCACGGCUCUACCGUGGAAGGUCAUUGGAAACUGGGGAACUUGAGUGCAGAAGAGGAGAGUGGAAUUCCAUGUGUAGCGGUGAAAUGCGUAGAGAUAUGGAGGAACACCAGUGGCGAAGGCGGCUUCCUGGUCUGUAACUGACACUGAGGCGCGAAAGCGUGGGGAGCAAACAGGAUUAGAUACCCGGGUA